rnacentral:tRNA from 1 species
GCCACGGUGGUCUAGCGUUAGAACGCUGGCCUUGUAAUCCUGGGGCCUUGGGUUCGAUUCCCGGCGGUGCCC